CUGGGUUCUGUUGUUGGCAACCAACAGAGUUGUUGUCUUUUCUCGCAUUCAUUAAAAUGCACAAGAAGAAAUUUCUAAUGGUGAGGGAGUACUUGCUUCAAAUUCAUACUUCAGUGAAAUAAACAACACCAUACAUAGGAAUGUGAAAGCAAAGUCAUCAUACACUGUUUGCUUCAUUGUAUGAGAAUCAAUGUUUGCAUGAUAAACUGCCCUAAUGGAAGAGGACUCUGAGUUACCUUUUUCGAGCAAAGCCACCUAGGUUACUCUGUUUUCCCCAGAGUGACCCUUCUGUUCUGCAAAUUUUCAGAUUGAAGGGAGUAGCAGUAGAGUAUCAGAAGUAUCAGAAGCAAAAAAGUAAAUGUAUGAUUUGAAAUCUACUUAAAUGUACCAAUCACAGAGUCUUUUGGAACUUAAACAUCUUGACUCUUCUGUUUAAAGCCUAAAUCAACCUGAGAGAAGAGAUGAAACAACUGAGGGCCAAAAAGUUUACAAAAUUUUCCAAGAUCAUACAGCUAAUUAACAACAUCUGGGCUCUUCUUGACUUUUGGAAUCCAAAAGGUGCUACCAGCAUCCCAAGGUGUCCAGCUUGUAGACAGCCUGUCGUGGGACUUCUCAACCUCCAUAAUUGUAUAACCUCAAAGUAAUGGGAGAAGAUACACAAGUGAUCAUUGCCAGGACUGAAGACUGUUCCUAGGACUACUAUUUGGAUCAACAGAAGCUGAAAAUGAGAAUAUCAAAGGCUGGGCAGAUAGUUUCACUCACGGGCAUUGAUCAGGAUGGCUGGAGGUCACCUGCUGCAAGAAGCACUGUGUUUUCUGUGCAGCUUAAUGAGAGGGAGCAUAUCAUUUCAGGACUCUCACAGGAUGCAGUGUUACUGAGAAUCUCAUGAGGCAAAUCCUAAAUGCCAGGAUAAAUUUGCAGAGAUAGAACUACUACUUUUUUUUUUUAAAUUUCCUUUUGUUAUGACUUGAACGUGUAAGGUCAUGCUUCGAGCCUGCUAUCCUAUAGCUCUCAAUUCUAAACUAGUUGCAAGUAUAUUGGACUUCUUGCCCUGACCCCUGUCCCUUUGAUAGGCCAGGUGAAUCCAAAUAUGCCCGAGUGCAUCUCACAGAAUACAUCUGAUUCUAGGAUGGGACUAGAGGUCUCCUGGUAUUUAGAACUGCAAAAUGAGGUAGCAAAAGCUCUAGUCAUAUGCCUCCCAUUUAUUUGACAUAUCAUCACAAACAUGUCCAUAAUUUACCAAGGUUGAUCCACUGCCUACUACAUUUGUGUGUGAAAAUGUGUCAUGCUUUGUGGAAAAAGUGAAAAUAGUUAUCUGUAUGGUGGGUGCACUUUGAGUGACUGGGGUGGGGUAUGAGCACUGUCUUACAAAAAAGUCAAGAGUAAUAUCUGACAAAGAUACUGUCCUUUACCCUGGAUACCAACAGAUGUUCUUGUUUUCAUUCAAAAUUACAAUUAUCAUUGAAGUGCACAGUGGCUUUUAAUUGAGACAGAUAAAACGUAACUUCAAGUAUUGAAGUAAUUUUUUUUUACUGUUUUUAAGACAACUGAAGAUCUGAGCAAUUCUUGGCAUGACUUUUCUCCAUUCAGUUUAGAUUUUUGUGAUAAAAGGCGACUAUAAUAAAGAGAAUGGUAAAGGAAAAUAUCUAACAUGGAAUUUAUAUCUAAUCUUCUUGAAAGUUAUGAACACUUGUUAAUCCUUAAUUUCAACUCUUGAGAUUUCAUCUGAUUUGAGAUAUUCCU
rnacentral:lncRNA from 1 species